GCCAGUACCAUGAGAUGACUACAAAGAACAGCAGCAGCAGUGGAGUACAGGCAGCUGGAGCCUAGAAGACAAUGUGUAUGCUACAAAGGGCAGAGCUGAAGAAGUGACCAAAGCCCUUGGAGGAGCUCAGAAAAUCGAAACAGAAAUAGUACACUUGGCCUCAUCUUUAAAGCCAAGCUUGAAGUUAUUGCCUGAAUGAUGGCUUUCUUCAUGCUUGAACGCCCCCCUAGCAGGUACCUAGCCUAUCUGGUCUCAGGUUUCUGUCCACCCAAGCAGUGUUUAUGGUGACUUUCCAACAAAUUAUUGAUUGGAAUUCUCCAGAGGCACCAAAUCGAGAAUCUAUAAUCAGAAUAAAAUUGCAGCUCUGGACAUGUCUAUAAGAGGAUUUCUUGAAUGAGUUAACUGAGUGAAAUCCAGGUGUAUCUGGAAAUUUGGGCAUAAAACGUAUAAAGACUGGAGGAAGGAAAGAAGUGAUAUGCAGCCCAGUCUUCUGGAUAUGAUAUGGCCAUUGCACUCAUGAGCUAAAAGCAGUUGUGGUUACCUACCCAAGAUCAACACCCUUGAAAGUUCCAACACAGGUUUGGGGGCAAAAGUAGGUCACUUGAAAAGUUUACUGACAAGAACAUAAAGGCAUAGAUGUUGGAAUUCCCUCAGAAUGACAACUAACUAAUCCUGAUCUUCUCAAAGACAUCAUGUCACUUAGGAUGCUGAGUGAGGUGCGAGGAGCUUGCUAAGUAGCAUUCUGUUAUUGUUCCUACCUGCCUGAAGAGAAGUUAAUCAAUUUACUGCCUCUGAAUUCCAAGAACUCAACUGCUCUGAAGUCAACUCCUCUUUUCUAAACUGAGCUCACUGCACUCAAUUGAUUGCACCAUACUCAAAGAUACUGCACCAGCAACAGUUUUCUUGCAUCAUAGCAUAAGAAAAACAAUUAAAACAAUAGAAAAGGAAAGCAAUGCAUGCUUCAUAGGAACAAAAUGAAAGUAGUUGUUCAUGAUGGCUUCAGCCUUAAAAUCACAAUUCUACAGAGGCUGAGGCAGGAGGAUCAUGAGUUCCAGAUGAACCUAAGCACACACAGCUCUUUCAAAGAAAAAGAAACGAAAAGAGUGAAUUUGUGAAUGCUGUCAAGACUCCCAGGAGAAAACUUUGAAAGAUUCAUGAUGUCAGAGGGGGAAAGUACCUUACAGCACCAACCAAACAACCUUAUUUUUUUUUAGUAUUACUGAUCUUUGGACAUAUGAAGGAAAAAUAAUAUUAAUCAAAAUGUUUGUUUCCAAGAAGAGAAGAACAGAUUGAUUUGUUGAAAAGCAGGGUUGACUGCAACGUACAGCAUUUGGAGCAACCAUGGGAUCCACACGUGUUCAUACGACAUCUGUCUGCAGCUGGAUGAAGUUCACUGUUCACUGGGGUCUCUGCAAAGGUUCCAGCCUCUGCUCUCUGUUCUGUACUUUAAAUUCCUCAAUUUUCUAAAAAUGCUGGUACCAUGAAGUCACCUUUACUUGGAAAACUCCCAAACCAUUUGCCAGUUCUGACCAGUUACUGAAAUGGCAGCCCCAUAUCAACCUCUGAUGAACAUUUCUCCAUGAAUAUAUUAUCAUCUAAACCAUAUCAUUUCAGGGCUCUACUCAUUCAGAGAUUAUGACUUUGCUCUUUAGUGUUUUAUAGAAUAGUUUUGCCAGUGCUCUAGACUGCAACCUCUAGCUCUUAAUAACUCUAUCUACUAAAACGCCAUUCUGAUUCCAUUUCCAUAUCUCUCUGUUAUUAAUAGUAUUUAAUCUUGCAUUGCUAUCUCCAUUGUGACUUUUUGUGAUUAUUCGUCCAAUGAUAGCUACACUUCUUUUUUUAAAUAAAAAUCUCAAUUUUGCCUU
ensembl:processed_transcript Gm11867 predicted gene 11867